ACAAGUAUGAGGACGAGAUCAAUAAGCGUACAGAGAUGGAGAAUGAAUUUGUCCUCAUCAAGAAGGAUGUGGAUGAAGCUUACAUGAACAAGGUAGAGCUGGAGUCUCGCCUGGAAGGGCUGACUGACGAGAUCAACUUCCUCAGGCAGCUGUAUGAAGAGGAGAUCCGGGAGCUGCAGUCCCAGAUCUCAGACACAUCUGUGGUGCUGUCCAUGGACAACAGCCGCUCCCUGGACAUGGACAGCAUCAUUGCUGAGGUCAAGGCACAGUACGAGGAUAUUGCCAACCGCAGCCGGGCUGAGGCUGAGAGCAUGUACCAGAUCAAGUAUGAGGAGCUGCAGAGCCUGGCUGGGAAGCAUGGGGAUGACCUGCGGCGCACAAAGACUGAGAUCUCUGAGAUGAACCGGAACAUCAGCCGGCUCCAGGCUGAGAUUGAGGGCCUCAAAGGCCAGAGGGCUUCCCUGGAGGCUGCCAUUGCAGAUGCCGAGCAGCGUGGCGAGCUGGCCAUUAAGGAUGCCAACGCCAAGUUGUCCGAGCUGGAGGCCGCCCUGCAGCGGGCCAAGCAGGACAUGGCGCGGCAGCUGCGUGAGUACCAGGAGCUGAUGAACGUCAAGCUGGCCCUGGACAUCGAGAUCGCCACCUACAGGAAGCUGCUGGAGGGCGAGGAGAGCCGGUGGGUGUGGGGACCUCUGACUGGACCCGCUUCCCUAUCCCUGGGACCUGGAGUGGGGACGGUGGGAGCCCCCUGAAGCCCCUUGGGACUUGGGGUCCUGUUGUUCUGGGCCAAGAAGGGCUAGGAGUUGGUCCUGACACCCCAUUUGUCUGGGUACAGGCUGGAGUCUGGGAUGCAGAACAUGAGUAUUCAUACGAAGACCACCAGCGG
rnacentral:sRNA from 1 species